CCAUGAUUCUCCAGGCACACGGUAGCACCAAUGUCCUCCGUAGCACCAGAUGUAUGCUCUCCUGAACGGCAGAGGCAUCCUUCGAACUUCGGAUCCGCCAUGGCUGCCGCUUCUCCCCUCGUCUCCCUCCUCCCCCUACUCCUCCUCCUCCUCCUCCCGGCUACAAAUGCCAUCUACUGCGACGAAGACGACUGCUACGACCUCCUCGGGCUUAAGCAGGACGCGAACGCGUCGGAGAUCAAGAAAGCCUACUACAAGCACUCCCUCAAACACCAUCCGGACAAGAACCCUGAUCCAGAGUCGCGAAAGCUCUUCGUCAAGAUCGCCAAUGCUUACGAGAUUCUAAAAGAUGCAUCCACUAGGGAGCAGUAUGACUAUGCCAUUGCGCAUCCGGAGGAGGUUUUUUACAACACAGCUCAGUACUAUAGGGCAUACUAUGGACAUAAAACGGAUCCUCGUGCUGUGUUGAUUGGUCUUCUCCUAAUUGUUUCAACAUUUCAAUACAUAAAUCAGCUGACAAGGUAUAACCAGGCCAUAGAAAGUGUCAAGCAAACUCCUGCUUACAGAAAUAGGUUAAAAGCAUUGGAGUUUGAGCGAACAAGAGGAAUUGCUAACAAAAAGAAGGGUCACAAGCAGGCAGGAAGGCUGAAGAAGAGGUCAGUAAUGAAGUUGAAUUGCAAAUCCAUGGUGUCGAGAAACCGUCUGUCUGGAGGCUCUAUGGUGUCCAGUUUAUACUUUUGCCUUAUUCCAUUGGCAAGGUGCUUACUUGGGAGAUUUGUUGGUUUUGGAGAUACCGGAUAAAGAAAUUGCCAUAUGCAUGGGAGGAUGCUUGCUACUUGACUCAGACUUCACUCAAGAUACCUGCCGGUACUUGGAAAAAUAUUGAUGAUCCUAGGAAAGAGGACCUCGUGAUGAGACGCCUUUGGGAGAAGAGCAACAUGGAGAGGUACAUCGCGGAGACAAGGAAGGAAUCGAAGCGUAGGAGGUAGCUAGCCGUAUAACAUUUUUCGCCCCGAGAUUACGGGGAGGUCUUGGCAACACAACAUUUAGAACAACGUGUUGGAAGGAAAGGAAGCACACAGACAACUCAGGCUUGAUUUCGCCGACAGCGGGAUGCGCCAAUGGUCCAGAACGAAGAAGCAUAGAAGUUUUGUUACCCUGUGAAACAAACUGUAAUUACAUAUUUACAUCGUUGAACGUGUAUGUUAAAUCUUUAUACAACAUAUAUACAUCGGAUAUUUGUUUCCUUUUUCCAAAACAAUUUGUAUACAUGUGUACUGGUCGGAUGGACGGAGCGUUUAUACAUGUAUACAUUCGUUGGCUGCU